rnacentral:rRNA from 1 species
GUGUCAGCCGCCGCGGUAAUACGGAGGGUCCGAGCGUUAUCCGGAUUUAUUGGGUUUAAAGGGAGCGUAGAUGGGUUUUUAAGUCAGUUGUGAAAGUUUGCGGCUCAACCGUAAAAUUGCAAUUGAAACUGGAGAUCUUGAGUAUAGUUGAGGUGGGCGGAAUUCGUGGUGUAGCGGUGAAAUGCUUAGAUAUCACGAAGAACUCCGAUUGCGAAGGCAGCUCACUAAGCUAUUACUGACAUUGAGGCUCGAAAGUGUGGGUAUCAAACAGGAUUAGAUACCCUGGUAGUCCACACGGUAAACGAUGAAUACUCGCUGUAGGCGAUACACAGUCUGCGGCCAAGCGAAAGCAUUAAGUAUUCCACCUGGGGAGUACGCCGGCAACGGUGAA